UCUACUUUCAUUGUCUUAAAUCAACAAUGGCGUUGGUUCGAACGAUCAUCGAACAGAUGAGUCAAACAGACAUUCGAAGAAGCAUCGUGGUUUCGAAUAUUCCUCCGGAAGCAAGUGAAGCAGCUCCUACUAUUCACUUUCAACGGCAUAAAUAUGGCGGUUGGGUGACGUGCUUUCUAUAAACAUUUUACAAGAUUCUUGCCAUGAAGGGGGUACAGCUGUCACUUUCGAAGCAGCCGACACUAUAGAAACAGUUCUCAGAGAAGAACAUCAAUUCCAACGAGGUCCGCUGAAAAUUUGUCGGCGUGCAGAGAAGCCAGCACCUAAUAAAGAUGAUUUAUUUUCUCAAGUAACUGCAAAUCUGAAUCCGC